rnacentral:rRNA from 1 species
AGGACGAACGCUGGCGGCGUGCCUAACACAUGCAAGUCGAACGGGGGUAGCAAUACCCCAGUGGCGAACGGGUGCGUAACACGUGAAGAACUUGUCCAUCGGCGGGGGAUAGCCGGCCCAACGGCCGGGUAAUACCGCGUACGUCGUCUGGAGCGCAUGCUCUGGCCGGGGAAAGCAGCAAUGCACCGAUGGAGAGCUUCGCGGCCUAUCAGCUUGUUGGUGGGGUAAUGGCCUACCAAGGCGACGACGGGUA